GACGAACCGUGCGAACGUUGUUCGGAAUCACUGGGCUUAAAGGGCGCGUAGGCGGGCCAUCAAGUCAGGGGUGAAAUCCUCCAGCUUAACUGGAGAACAGCUUUUGAUACUGGUGGCCUCGAGGGGGGUAGGGGCAUGUGGAACUUCCGGUGGAGCGGUGAAAUGCGUAGAUAUCGGAAGGAACGCCGGUGGCGAAGGCGGGACUCUGGGCCGAUACUGACGCUGAGGAGCGAAAGCGUGGGGAGCAAACAGG
rnacentral:rRNA from 1 species